AAAGAAAAGAAGAAAAAAAAAUCAAAA
rnacentral:sRNA from 1 species